UUUAGGCUGCCUUGGGACGUUCUCCCACCUCCUUGGCCGUAACCCCUUGCUCCUAUAUAAGUAGAUCCAUCUAGUAGCUUUUUGCUUGGGAUUUGUUUAGUUAAAAGUUAGCCAUUGCAACUUCGUGUACUUCUUUUGUGUCCAACGACCAGACCAAGACCGCUUGCGGAUCCCCACCUUUAUCAAUACUUCAUAUAUACUCGCAAUAUUCAGAUUGCUUUUAUCAUAUUCCUGCUUGUUCUUCGAUUGCUUGGGAGCUUGAAGUAGAACAAGUUUUUAGUCACCAUGCCUUUUCUGAACUUGAUCGAGUACGAGCUGCCACUAGAGCAUUUACUGGUUUUGCUUCUGUUUGGUGGAGUGUGCAUUGUAAGAAAAACAUUGAUAACCAACCCACAACUUGGAAAGAUUUGAAAGAUGUAAUGAGAAAACAGUUUUUCCCUCCUUACUAUCGUCGUGAAUUGCUUCGCAAAUUUGAACAAUUUAAACAAGGCAACAACACUGUUCAUGCUUACUACCAAGAGUUUAAAUCUUAUAUGCAUCAUUGUGACAUAGAAGAAUCUGAGGAUGAUACAGUGAAUAGAUUUUUUGGUGGUUUGAACCAUGAUAUCCGUGCAAGAUUUCACUAUAUUCCUCGUUGCAUUACUGGUAUGUAUGUUCGUGCUUGUACCUUUGAGAGACAGAUAUAGGAGGAUGCAUUGGGUGGCUACAACAACUACUAUUCCAGUUCAUGCUCACCACCGCCGGUUGGUUCCUCCACCGUUGCACCUACUAGAGCAGCCCCACCUCGGACUGUGAGCGCGACAUCAUCUCAAGAGUAUGAUGCAUUGCCAACGUCCGUACCUACAUCAGCUAUGUCUUUGCGACAAGGUAAUAGUAAAGGUAUUGAUGAUAUAACUUCACAUGAGAAUGAUGCAUCCCUAGUUAACUUGAAUGCAUCAUGUGUUGAGUUACCUGGUGAUUUGAGCACAUCACCUAUUUUAGAGAAUCUUGAUACUGUCAUGAAUGCGUCAUGUGAUCAAACAACUGAAAUACCAACAAUUUUGAGUGCACCCAUUGAAUUAACUGUUGAUGCAAAACAAUCAAUGUUUAAUCAUUUUGAUAUGACCUCUAAUCUUGGUGAUGAUUCUGUGUCGAAUGACUUAUUGCAUGUUUGCUUAUUUAAGCAUGUUGUAGCAUGUAAAUUUGAUGCAAGUAAGGUUUAUUCACCAUUGUUGGGAUGGUUUAAUGAUGAACAUUGUCAAUCUUUUGAAAUGAAUAAGAGCUUCACUUAUAUGUGCAAACUGAUUUGCAAUAUUUUCAUGCCUUCUACUUCUUGUGAUAAUAUUUUGGCUUUAUAUUUUAUGAACUAUGAAAGUUACUCGUGCAUACAUGUGUCAUAUGUGCAAAAACAAAGGGAAGUAAAAAUGGAUGACAUAUUCAUAUACAACAUGUACACAUUGUCUCUUUUGUUAGCCACAUUUCAGAUUAAGCAACGCCGAGGACGUCUUUGUUUUCAAGAAGGGGAGGAUGAUGAGGACAUGACUACCUUGGAUAUAACCAAAAAUAUUGCAUACAUGCAUAUUUGUCACGUGAUUUCUAGUGCAAACUAUUCAAUAAUCUAUUUAUGUUAUCCAGAACAAAAAUACUUCACACACUUUUGUGUUUUGUCUAAUUGAAGGUGUAUGGGACAUUUGUAUAAUCCACAUAUGAAGAUAAGGGAAAAAGAGAAGUUUAGGUUCUAUUCAAAAAGUCCUCUCACGUCACUUUUGGGCCAAGAGAAGAUAGAGUCCAAGUCUCUCAUGUUCUGGAUUCAGAUUCGGACUGUACAGACAUACCUGACUCAAAACGCCAACAACUUUUUCAUACGGACUCCGAAUUGGGUGAUUCAUUUUUUUGGAAAGUAGAUUUCGUGCUCUUUUCAGCCCAAUUGGACUCACCUUAAAAUACGUUCGGAGCGUUGAGAUAUCAACGAAACAAUCGGACGCUAAAGCAGAAUCCAAGUCAAACAACAAGUCCAAAGGUGUUGUAUCACCUCCACUUGGGCCCAUGAGCCUUGUACGACCUAGGGUUGAUUUUAGGCUGCCUUGAGACGUUCUCCCACCUCCUUGGCCGUCACCCCUUGCUCCUAUAUAAGUAGAUCCAUCUAGUAGCUUUUUGCUUGGGAUUUGUUUAGUUAAAAGUUAGCCAUUGCAACUUCGUGUACUUCAUUGUGUCCGACGACCAGACCAAGACCGCUUACGGAUCCCCACCUUUAUCAAUACUUCAUAUAUACUCGCAAUAUUCAGA
rnacentral:lncRNA from 1 species